rfam:Volvox carteri f. nagariensis unplaced genomic scaffold VOLCAscaffold_64, whole genome shotgun sequence.
CCCGCUGAACUUAAGCAUAUCAUUAAGCGGUGGAAAAGAAACUAACCAGGAUUCCCCUAGUAACGGCGAGCGAACCGGGA